CACGUAGGGUGCGAGCGUUGUCCGAAAUUAUUGGGCGUAAAGAGCUCGUAGGCGGUGUGUCGCGUCGGCCGUGAAAACCUGCAGCUUAACUGUGGGCUUGCGGUCGAUACGGGCAUCACUGGAGUUCGGCAGGGGAGACUGGAAUUCCUGGUGUAGCGGUGAAAUGCGCAGAUAUCAGGAGGAACACCGGUGGCGAAGGCGGGUCUCUGGGCCGAUACUGACGCUGAGGAGCGAAAGCGUGGGGAGCGAACAGG
rnacentral:rRNA from 1 species